rnacentral:rRNA from 1 species
AGUCACUGACAUUAGAUACCCGUGUAGUCCAGGGUGUAAACGCUGCAGACUUGGUGUUGGAGGCCCUUUGGGGGCAUUCAGUGCCGGAGAGAAGUUGUUAAGUCUGCUACUUGGGAGUACGUCCGCAAGGAUGAAACUUAAAGGAAUUGGCGGGGGAGCACCGCAACGGGAGGAGCGUGCGGUUUAAUUGGAUUCAACACCGUAAACUCACCAGGGAAGACUGUUACAUGAAGGCCGAGAUGAAGACUCUGCUAGAUUUUCAG